rnacentral:rRNA from 1 species
UACAGAGGUCUCAAGCGUUGUUCGGAUUCAUUGGGCGUAAAGGGCGCGUAGGCGGCGGGGUAAGUCGGGUGUGAAAGCCCUCGGCUCAACCGAGGAAGUGCGCCCGAAACUGCAGAGCUUGAGUACCGGAGAGGAUGGCGGAAUUCCCCAAGUAGAGGUGAAAUUCGUAGAUAUGGGGAGGAACACCGGUGGCGAAGGCGGCCAUCUGGACGGAUACUGACGCUGAGACGCGAAAGCGUGGGGAGCAAACAGG